rnacentral:tRNA from 1 species
UCACUGGAGGACUAGUGGUUAGGUCUCGCGCUCUCCCGGUGUGGCCCGGGUUCGAUUCCCAGCCAGGGAA